CCUACGGGUGGCAGCAGUAGGGAAUGUUGCGCAAUGGGCGAAAGCCUGACGCAGCAACGCCGCGUGAGGGAUUAAGGCCUUCGGGGUGUAAAGAUCUGUCAGCGGGGACGAAACUUGACGGUACCCACCGAGGAAGAACCGGCUAACUCCGUGCCGGAAGCAGCGGUAAUACGGAGGGUGCAAGCGUUGUCCGGAAUCAUUGGGCGAAAAGAGUUCGUAGGUGGCAUAUUAAGUCUGGUGUGAAAUGCAGAAGCUCAACUUCUGUUCGGCACUGGAUACUGGUAAGCUUGAGUGCGGUAGGGGUUAGGGGAAUUCCUGGUGUAGCGGUGAAAUGCGUAGAUAUCAGGAGGAACAUCGGUGGCGUAGGCGCUUUACUGGGCCAUAAUUGACGCUGAGGAACGAAAGCCGGGGUAGCAAAUAGGAUUAGAUACCCUGGUAGUC
rnacentral:rRNA from 1 species